CAAGACAUGAAGUUAGGUCAGCAA
rnacentral:rRNA from 4 species